rnacentral:rRNA from 1 species
AUCCUGGCUCAGAGCGAACGCUAGCGGCGGGCUUAACACAUGCAAGUCGAGCGGAGAGCUUCGGCUCUCAGCGGCGAACGGGUGAGUAACACGUAGGUCACGUACCCUUUGAUGGGGAAUAACCUAGGGAAACCUGGGCUAAUACCGCAUAUGUCCUUCGGGAUGAAAGCCUUCGGGCGUCAGAGGAUCGGCCUGCGGCCCAUUAUUUAAUCCUAGUUGGUAGGGUAAUGGCCUACCAAGGGUACGAUGGGUAGCUGGUCUGAGAGGAUGAUCAGCCACACUGGAACUGAGACACGGUUCAGACUCCUACGGGAGGCAGCAGUGGGGAAUAUUGGACAAUGGGCGAAAGCCUGAUCCAGCCACGCCGCGUGGGUGAUGAAGGCCUUCGGGUUGUAAAGCCCUGUCGGGAGGGACGAAUCAAUGACGGUACCUCCCAAGAAAGCACCGGCUAACUCCGUG